CCUACGGGAGGCAGCAGUGAGGAAUAUUGGUCAAUGGACGAGAGUCUGAUCCAGCGAAGUAGCGUGGAUGAUGACUGCCCUAUGGGUUGUAAACUUCUUUUGUAGGGGAAUCAAACGAGGCUAGUGUACUUUUUUGCAUGUACUUUAUGAAUAAGGGUAGGCUAGGUACGUGCCAGCGGCCGCGGUAAUACGGAGGAUACGGGCGUUAUCCGGGUUUAUUGGGGUUACAGGGAGCGGAGAUGGGUUGGUAAGUCAGUUGUGAAAGUUUGCGGCUCAACCUCGAAACUGCAAUUGAUACUGGUAUGCUUGAGUACAGUAGAGGUAGGCGGAAUUCGUGGUGUAGCGGUGAAAUGCUUAGAUAUCACGAAGAACCCCGAUUGCGAAGGCAGCCUGCUAGACUGUGACUGACGUUGAUGCUCGAAAGCGUGGGUAGCAAACAGGAUUAGAUACCCUUGUAGUC
rnacentral:rRNA from 1 species